GGUAACACAGGUGUUCUAAGGUGAGCUCCAGGAGGACAGAAACCUGUGAGGCGGAGGGGCAAAAGCUCACCUGAUCUUGAGGUUCAGUAUGAAUAUAGACCAUGAAAGUGGGGCCUCACGACACUUCUGACCUUUUGGGCUUUAAGCAGGAGGUAUCAGAAAAGUUCCAACAGGCAUAACCAGCUUGUGGUGGCUAAGCAUUCACAGUGUUGCUGCUUUUUGAUCCUUCGGUGUCAGCACUUCCUGUCAUUGUGAAGCAGAAUUCACCAAGCGUUGGGUUGUUCACCCACUGAUAGAGAAUGUGAGCUGGGAUUACACCGUGGUGAGACAGGUUAGUGUUGCCCUACUGCUGGUGUGUUGUUGCCUUGGUAACCUUGCUUAAUAUAAGAGGAAUUGCCCUGUCAUUUUAAAUAGUCAUGAUUCUGGGAUUCACUUUAACUUCAGAGAAGUGUGCUGAGCUUCGCACUUACGAAUUGUAUUUUGUUAAUGCUAUUUGGGUGAAAAGUUUAACAACAGAUUUUCUACAGUCAUAUUUAGACACUUAGAAUUUGGUUUCUGGAAAGAUUUUGGAGGUUAUCUGGUUCAGGGAUUUACUCAGCCGCCAUUCAGUGCCAAUCAGUUGUUGCUAGGCUGGACUGAGUGCCUAGUGGUGGUGGAUCUUCCAAUUUAAAAAGUUAGAAAUGUGGAAAUGUAUGGGAAAUCUCCAAAUUUUUAAAUGG
rnacentral:rRNA from 1 species